GAUAUGGCUCAGGAUGAACGCUGGCGGCGUGCCUAAUACAUGCAAGUAGAACGCUGAAGGAAGGAGCUUGCUCUUUCCGGAUGAGUUGCGAACGGGUGAGUAACGCGUAGGUAACCUGCCUGGUAGCGGGGGAUAACUAUUGGAAACGAUAGCUAAUACCGCAUAACAAUAGAUGUUGCAUGACAACUAUUUGAAAGGGGCAAUUGCUCCACUACCAGAUGGACCUGCGUUGUAUUAG
rnacentral:rRNA from 1 species